UCAGAGGUAGUUUAUUAAAAAUAUUAAUUUUGGAAAUUAGAGAUAAAAGUUAUUUUCCUCUGAA
rnacentral:tRNA from 1 species